CCUACGGGAGGCAGCAGUGGGGAAUAUUGGACAAUGGGGGAAACCCUGAUCCAGCGACGCCGCGUGUGUGAAGAAGGCCUGCGGGUUGUAAAGCACUUUUAGUGGGGAUGAAAAGCCUAGGGUUAAUACCUCUGGGUCUUGACCUAACUCAUAGAAAAAGCACCGGCUAACUCUGUGCCAGCAGCCGCGGUAAUACAGAGGGUGCAAGCGUUAAUCGGAAUUACUGGGCGUAAAGCGUGCGUAGACGGUUAUGUAAGUCGGGUGUGAAAGCCCCGGGCUCAACCUGGGAAUUGCAUUCGAGACUGCAUAGCUAGGGUUCGGAAGAGGGAAGCGGAAUUUCCGGUGUAGCGGUGAAAUGCGUAGAUAUCGGAAGGAACACCAGUGGCGAAAGCGGCUUCCUGGUCCAGAACCGACGUUCAGGCACGAAAGCGUGGGGAGCAAACAGGAUUAGAUACCCUGGUAG
rnacentral:rRNA from 1 species